GAUGAAGAACGUAGUGAAAUGCGAUAAGUAAUGUGAAUUGCAGAAUUCAGUGAAUCAUCGAAUCUUUGAACGCACAUUGCGCCCCCUGGUAUUCCGGGGGGCAUGCCUGUUCGAGCGUCAUUACAACCCUCAAGCUCUGCUUGGUAUUGGGCCCCGCCAGUUCUGGCGGGCCCUAAAGUCAGUGGCGGUGCCUUCCGGCUCCGAGCGUAGUAAUUCUUCUCGCUCUGGAGACCCGGUUGUGUGCUUGCCAACAACCCCCAAUUUUUUAAGGUUGACCUCGGAUCAGGUAGGGAUACCCGCUGAACUUAAGCAUAUCAAUAAGCGGAGAA
rnacentral:misc_RNA from 1 species